rnacentral:misc_RNA from 1 species
CCCUAGCCCCGAUAGUAACGGUUACCCCGCAGCAUGUGUAAGCCAUAGCACUGGCGCGAGGAGUAUGAGUGGAUAGCGGGAUAAAGC